GCAUUGUAUAAAAACUUCUCUAGCUGCUGUGUCACAAAGAUACUGGAAAGGGGCAAGGUGAAGGAGGAGACCAGCAGAGCAGCCACGGCCGGGACAGUGCAGAGGAGGGAAGAUGACACAGCUGUGAGACAUUUUGGGGUGAGUCACAGAAUUUGGCAAUGGACUGAAUUUGAGACUUGAGGUAAAAGAAGAGGUCAAGAAUGACGCCAGAUUUUUGACUUCAACAGCUGAGUAGAAAGAGGCGACAUUUGAAAUAACUGAAGGAACGGCAGUCUGUGGGGACACAGGCCUGGGUGCUCAGAGUGGCACACUUUAAUGCAAAUGGCCUUCUGCUUUCUGCUCCAGUCCCCGCACUUAAGGAAGGAACAGCCACUGAGCUGUAUGAACAGCCACCCCUGCCCUCCAACAGAGGCCCUGUUCUUGACAUGCUCGUGCACCUCACUUUUCUCCUGGGGUGAGUUCUUUCCUCUGCUCUUCUGCUGACUGACACCUAGUCGGCCAGUCCAGGCCUGUCUGAAGCCUUGGGUGAGACCCCUGGUGCAUCUCAUGUUGUUGAUUCCUCUGGCCUUUUGCUAAGUCCUCUACUCCUCUGCCUUUUAUAAGGUCGAAGGGAACUCUAAAAAAUCUAUACUGGCCCAUCAGCUGCAAAAAUUAACUGUUUGGAUCUCUUAGAAUUUGGGUGGUACAUGAAGAGCAAUAGAAAACACUCCCCUUUCCUGGAGCAUUACCUGAAUUAUUUAAUAAGUUGCUUUCACUGGAGUCAAUAUAGUACCUAAGUCAAAGGCCUUUGAAGUCAGACAGGUGUGAGUUGGAAUCCAGCCUCUGCAACAUCAAUAGCUGUGCGAUCCUGGGCAAGGGACUUAGAGUGAGUAACACAGGGUCUGGCAGAUAGGAGGACCUCAAUCAACAGAAGGUGGUAGUGAUCUGGGAAAAUUGUAAAAGAAGAGACUUUUGGCUGGAAGAGCCAAGAUCUUGCCGCCAUUAUAUAGGUGGAGGAACGGAGGCCUGGAAACAUUACAGGGUUUGCUCAAGGACCCACAUUAGAGGUGGAACUCUACCAGGAGUUAACGCCACAAAUGACUCCCAGCCCUGUUCUCUCUCCAGACCCCCUGGGGAAAAGCCGCAGACAUGAGUGAAGGCAGCAGGACCUGUGUGACGUGGGUUUUCAGUUGAUUGCAAGGUUUCCUGAAAAAAUCAAAAUUUCUGAAUUUUUUUGAAAAAUCAGAAAACAUGGCCACCCAGCCCUGUAUUCCUACAGGGUGGCAGUAGUGGGAGCUGACCUGCUGCUGUGCCCUUGUGGAUCUGUGCUCUCCAGUUUGCCACAGUCCCUAUCCCUCUCUAUUGUCUCCUGGACACUAUAGCCUGGUGUCACCUGCAGCUGGCUAUCAUGCUUGAGCUAUUGUGUUUUGAAUAUGUGGUCCACUUUCCUCAUUUGUGUGACCUGCUCUGUCCACAAAGACAUGCACUUGCGAUUCUGGCCUUAGAGUGUCUCCUUAAAAAAAUGUUUUAGAACAUAAAGAUAUAUACAUUCUCCAAUCCAUUGCUGCCCUAUUAGCUAUUGUUGUGGAACCCUGAGUCAUUUCUCUCAAAAUUCUCCUGGCAAAUAUGUUCCCUCUGAAAUCUUCCUCCCCACAUCCAUUUGGAAAUAGAAACUCCUGCCCACGGCUGUAGUGGUCCCUUUCUCUGCAUCCUCCACUAUUCCUCUUCUUUUGGAUCUUGCCAAGGGUUAUGGUCUGCAGUUUUCCAUGCCUUUUCCUUUCCCCACCCUACCCCCCUCGCCUGCUCGCAGGGCCACUCCUUCUCUCCACAUCGUGGAAACCUGGCCCUAUGCUCUGCCUCGCUGCAGCUCUGCAUGGCUGGCCCUCCUUUCUGCAUCCGGUGGGCAAGAGGAACCAAAAACAGACAUUUACAGGGAGCGGGGGAUGGGGACAGGUCAGGUUUCUUGAGUUUCUUGGAGCAGGAAUGUCAGUCACCAACCCUGUACCCUUACGAUUCGCUCUGGACAGUGGCAUACUAAAUCUGUACUUGCCUCCCUUUCACUUUCAGAGAUGAAUAAACAAGCAUGUCCUGCCUAAGAUGUUUGGGGCCUCUCCUCUUUGACUUUCUAUUCUACUGCCUCUGUUUAGACCUGUGCCAACUUGCAAACUUGCCAUGGCCUCCCAUCCAGCCUCCCUGCUUCCAACUCGCCCUCUCCUGUCCCUCUUCCACCCUGCCUCAAGCUUGAUCAGGUCUCCCAUCUGCGUGAAUCCCAUCAAGAGCUCCCUAUUACCUUCAGAGGGAAGCCCAGGCCCUUGGCCAACCAGGCAGGGCUCACCUAACUUCCCAGCCUCAUUGCUCAUUUCUCCCCACCAGCACUGGCACUCAGUCUCGAAAGCCAGGAAGCUCUCACCCGGUUUUUCUCCUUGCCCUCAUUUUUUUUCUCUAUCAGAAAAACUUCUCUCAUCAGGAUGGAGUUGGGGAGGGGGCUACUCCCACUGAUCCUUCAGGAAUCAGUUUAAACACCACCUCCUCCCCACCCUUUGUCUGACUGCUUGUCUCCACCAAAGCGUUUAGAUUGUUUUGUUUCUCCUCUGCUCACACCUCUGCUGUGGCCUGCCUGGUUGCACAGUUUACAGAUCUGUCUCCCCCAGACUCUGAGGCCUCAGGCAGAGACCCUCUGGCUCAUCUCUGUGUCCUCAGAACAUGGCCCAGGAUCUGGCAUGACGACAGCCUAAUACAAGCUUGAGGAAUUGAGUGAUGCAGUACUGAAUUUCAGCAAAGACAUAGAGAGGUUGUUCAUAAAAGGCUGUCCUUGGGUUUUUUGAAAUAUGUUUCCUGCUUCAUAGAAGCAAGGACCAUUCUUCAAGAAGAUGACCAUGGGCCUCUCUCCACCCUUGUCAACCACAAGGCCCUUUCUAUUCCUUUCACAGGAAUAGGUCCUUCUGUCACGGGGCACAGGACCCUUGACCGCAAAAUGACGUGAGUUACCACUGACUAUUUUCUGGGUCUUGAUCUUGUGACUCCAAAUGGAUGGUAAGCUCCUUAAGGGAAAGUCUAUGAUAUUCAUCCAACCACCCAUCCAUCCUUUCAUCCACCCAACCAUCCAUCCAUCUGACCAUCAUCCAUCCAUCCAUCCAUCCAUCUAUCCAUCUUCUAUCCAUCUGUCUACUCACCCAUCCACCCAUCCAUUCAAUUAUUCAUCCAUCCCUCUUCCAUCCAUUCACCCAUCUUCCAUCCAUCUGUCCACCCAUCCAUUCCACCAUUUAUCCAUCCAACCACCAUCUAUUCAUCCAACCACUCGUCUAUUCAUCCCUCUGACCAUCCAACCAUCCAUCGAUUUGUUCAAUUAUUUUAUCAAGCAUCUACACUGCACCACACACCCUAAUGGGUGUUGGGGAGAAAAUGGAGAGUAAAAUCAGAUGGGACCUCUGACCUCAGUGCGGCUGACCAUCAGUCCGGUAGAGGAGACACGUAAACUGACAAUUAUAAAUAAACACAAUGUGUCAACUCUGACAAGUGCUGUGAGGGAGAAAUCAGCAGUACUGAGAAAGCCUUUAUGGUCCUGGUGUGAGAGGUGGGAUGAGCCCAACACAGCAACAACAGCAAGACCAUGGGGGAGUGUGGUGCAGAUGGGCAGGUGUACAGAGCAUGCAGGCCAUGUCUGCCAGCCCUCUCUUUGUGCAUUAGCAACAGUAAAACGGGGCUUGUGUUUGGGCAGAUUAUACCACUGGUCUUGCAUCCCAAAUGUCUCUUUGUUCACUCGUUUAUACAAACAUGCUCAAUAAUAUUUAUGCAUUUUUACUGUGACAUCAUUUUCUUAUAUAAUAAAAGUGCCUAUUUAUAUACCGUAUAUGUAUAUAUAUAAUACACAGAUGCACACACACAAGCACACAUGCACAGAGCUUCUUGACAGUCAGUCCCUCAUAAGGUAGUCCACUGAAGUGCAGUCAUCACCAUCCUCAGACCUCAUGAUUAUAUAACUAGAGCACCUUAUAUUUUUAUAUUUUAUUAUGUAUUUAAUAAUCACAUAACUCUUUAGUGAAUGCCAAUUAAUUAGGAGAAUGACAUGCCUUCUCUCUGCUCCUCAUAAUAUCCCCCUUAGAUAGGUUUUAUCUCCCCACUUACAAGAUGUGGAGACUGGGCCGGGCACGGUGACUCACGCCUGUAAUCCCAGCACUUUGGGAGGAUGAGGCGGGUGGAUCACAUGAGAUCAGGAGUUUGAGACCAUCCUGGCCAACAUGACAAAACCGUCUCCUCUAAAAAUACCAAAAUUAGCUGGGACUGGUGGCACGUUCCUUUAAUCCCAGCUACUCGGGAGGUUGAGGCAGGAGAAUUGCUUGAACCCAGGAGGCAGAGGUUGUAGUGAGCCAAGAUCGUGCCACUGCACUCCAGCCUUGGUGACAGAGCAAGACUCUGUCUCAAAAAACAAACAAACACACAAAAACAAAAAAACAGAAAAAAACAGACUUGGAGACUGAGGCUCUGAGAUGUGAAGUCACUUGCAGACAGGUCAGACAGCCAGGUCAGGUCAGACAGCCAGAAGCUGGGGAAGGCAGCGCUGGAGCUAGGUCUGUGUGACACCUCCUCCAUCUAUCCUGCCCCCUCUCUAGCAUUUUAGGACCCAAAGGGACCUAAGAGAGUGCUCAGACAGCUGGCUGCGUUAGGAGCUACCUGUGGCUGCUGAAGAAGAGUUUGCGUCAAUUUAAAGAAAGAGCCAUUCAAGGAAUGAGGACCAUGACCUUGGCUGCACUGACCAGCUGGGCUCUGGAGACUCAGUGAGGCUGCCCAGCCACCAACAGGCCCUGCACAAUAGAUCCACGGACCCAGCAGUCAGAGGUGACCCUAGGGGUCACUGGCCCGUGGCUAAGGAGGAGGAGCACAGACCUGCGACCCCCUUUUCCCAUGGACCACCCAGGGAGGCUGAGCGGGGACUCUGAGCUCAGAUGGACAACCUCAGAGCCACUGGGAAUUUGCCUGAGGCCACUGGGGCCAGGGUUAAAUCCAUAUGAAGCAGCGCGGGCUGUGCACCUGCCAUUUUCUAGGCUCUGUCACAUGCAUCUUUCUGCCAAAUCUCAUGGUGAUCCUUCAAGAAUAGUACUAUUAAUCUCCCCAUUGACAGAGGGAGAAAGGGAGGCUCAGAGACGUUAAGUGUCUCACCAAAGCUCACACAGCUUCCAAGCAAUAGAACUUUACUCAGUACUCAGUACAGGUUAACAUUUAUUCAUUCACUCGAUAACCAUUUGCAGCACAGCUACCAUAUGCCAGGCAGUGUUCUAGGCACUUAGAAUACAUAGAUGAGCAAAACAGGCAAAACCUUUCCCUCAGGGCGUUACCAUUUGAGUGCCACCAUGCCACGGCUGGUACAGUUGCUAUUGAGACAAACAAAAUAAGACCCAGUUUUUGCCUUUGGGGAGUAGGUAGUCUAGUGGAGGAGGCACAUACACAGAAAAUUCCAAAGUACUGUGGAAAUCUCAGGGUACUUUGAUAGGGAUUACCAGAGGAGCUGUGAGAAUAAAGGCUGGAUAUCAGGGAAGGCUUCCUGGAAGAGGUGUUGCCUGAAAUGAGCCUGGAAGGAUCACUUAGGGACAGAAAAGUCAUUCCGUGUAGAAUUCAUGGUGAGUGACAGAGCCUAAACCCAGUCUCUUUUGCAUGCUGAGCACUGAGACCCAGACGCUGGUGCUCAGACCUGAUGACUUAUUUUCCCAGGUACAGCUUGAGCAAAGACACAGAAGCAGAAGGCAGGUUUUUGGUUCCAUGAACUCUACAUCUGGCUACAUACAAAUGGUGAAGAGGAACAGGGAGAAACAUGGUUGAAAAGAACAGGCUUGGACUUCAGGAAGCAGUAAAAUGAGCGAAUGCCAUUUAUGGUUACAAAGAUAACUCAGCUGGGGGCCAAACAGAGACUGAAAUGGAGUGGGUGAGGAUGGAGGCCGGGAGGAGAUGGCUGCAGAGGUCCCAGCAAUGACAGUGGUUGUGGGAAGGGGCAACCCCAAGUCUUGUGCUCCCAACUGCAAAUCCAGUGCUUUUUCUAAAAAAAUAUUUAAAUAAUUUAUUUAUUUUUGAGAUGGAGUCUCGCUCUGUCACCCAGGCUGGAGUGCAGUGACACAAUGUCGGCUCGUGCAACCUCUGCCCCCCGGGUUCAAGCGAUUCUCCUGCCUCAGCCUCCCAAGUAGCUGGGAUUACAGACGCACGCCUCCACGCCUGGCUAAUUUUUUAUAUUUUUGGUAGAGAUGGGGUUUCACCAUGUUGCCCAGGCUGGUCUCGAACUCCUGACUUCAAGUGAUCCACCCACCUCGGCCUCCCAAAGUACUAGGAUGACAGGCGUGAGCCACUGUGCCCAGCCUUAUUUUUUUUUUUAAUUUAUAUUUUCAGAGGCAAACGAUCCUUGCUCAUUAAAAAAAGGAAAUAGAAAUUCAAAACAAAAAUGCCUGUAUCUGAUGGGAAAGAUGAGCCCAAUGUUCUUUUUUAAAAAACCUUUAUUAUGAAAUAUUUCAACUGAACAUAUGCAGUUUAUAUUGUUAUAAAGCAUAACAAGCAAUCAAACAGCUGUGAACCCACCACUCCAUGUCAGAACUAGAACUUCCCAAAGCAGUCGGAGCUGAGGUGAGAUCCACUCUGAUGCCCUUCCCCAACUCCACGCCACCCCCCAAGACCUGACCACCUGAUUACUCUGGGAUUUCAUUUUUGUCUCGUUCCCUUGCUUUGCUUUAUGUCUUUACCAAAUGUGAAUGUGUGCCUAAACAAUACAGUGCUCGAUUUGCUUGUGUUUAAGCUUUAUUACAAAUAUAACUUUGAUCCUUCUGCUACUUGCAAUUCUAAAUUUGAUAUUACGAGUCUCAGCCUCAUCGGCGUUGAUGCGUGUGACCGACAUUGAUUCACUCUCACCAGUACGUGGUGUGUUCCGUUGCAUGCAUGCACCCCUGCUGGGGUAUCCAUUCUCCUGUUGGUGGACCUUUGGGUGGUAUUAGUUGCUGGUCAUCUCCAUGGUGCUGUCCUCUUGCAGGUCUCCAGGACACAUGUGCAUGAGUUCCUCUAGGAAACCACGGUGUACAACUGCUGGGUUGCAGGCCCAGGGUUCUUUCCACUUCUCUAUCCUCCCAAGUAGGGUCCAGCUGGCCUUAGUGCUGCCAUGCUGAGAGCUCUGGGAGGGGCAACCCAGGGCAGACAGGCCCAGGCCAGCCACCCUGCCCCAGGCAUUUCCCAGGACUCAUCAGGCACCCAGCGGCCCCUCAGCAGUGAGCAAUACCAGAAAUCUGCCAGCUGGCUACUAACUGGGUCACAAGAGAGUACUGCUGUCUCACUCAGGGUGCGUUCCAUUUCCUUCAGCACUUGCGCCAAGUAAGGCUGUGUUCACAGGCCACAAGACCCAAGGGAGAUGGAAAUCAGCUCACAGAUGCUGAGCUGACUGCACACCAGGCAGUGUGCAAAGCACCUUACACAUAUAACUCACUUAAUCCUCAUCCCUGACUGCACGAGGUGGGCACUAUUAUUAACCCCACUUUACAGAUAAGAAACUGAGGCGCAGGAAGUUGAAAAUUUUGCCCAGACCAACACGUACAACUUCAAAUCCAGACAGCCUGGCCGCUCUGCUCCUACUACUCUGCUACCCCAUCUCUCAAGAGGGGAAAAGGACUAGCUCCUUGCCCAAUCCUGAGGUUGUCAGCAUUCUUUUACUGGCAAGGAAAACAAAUGGAACUUCAAUGAAUAUAUGUAGAAAGAAAGACUUAUUAGCUGACAAAAAUCAAUAGAGAAAAGACAGGUUAGAAGCAGAUCUCAGGGCCCACUGGGUCCAGGGAGGCGAAAGCGCCCCUCCUUCUCCGUCUUCCUCCUCCACGUCUCUCUUUGUGCUGUUUUCAUUCUUUCCUAUUGCAAAAGGGCCUCCUCCCCUGGGCAGGUAGGUGGCUGCCUGCAACUCUCACCUCACCUUCUCACAGAUCUGCCUAUUUCUAUUUUAAAAUACAAACAAACCAAAAGCCAGAGAAGGUUCCUGACAGGCCCAGGAAAGGAUGUGAUUAGCUUAGUCUGGGCCACCUGCCCAUUUUUUAUGGACUAAAUGUUUGUGUGUCUCCAAAUUGGUAUGUGGAAGCCCUACCCCCAGUGUGACAGUAUUAGGAAGUGGGGCCUCUGAAAGGUCAUUAGGUUUCAAUGAGGUCAUGAGGGUGGGGGGAUCCAUGAUGGAAUUAGUGCCGUUAUAAGAAAAGGAAGAGACACCAGAGUUUUCUCUCCACCAUGUGAGGUUACAGCAAGAAGGCAGCUGUCUGCAAGCCUGAAGAGAGCCCUUACCAGGAGCCAAAUCUGCCAGCACCCUGAUCUUGGACUUCCAGAACUGUGAGAAAUAAAUUCCUGUUCCUGAAGCCACUCAGUCCGUGGGAUUCUAUUAGCAGUCGGGACUGACUUGGACACUGUUCCUGGAGCAACGCUAGUGGCCUGGGGAAGCUGGGCCCUGGGACUGGUGCAGGGAGGGCCACAGUCCCAGCCUAUAGCAGCUGAAGCUGCAUUUGUCCCCAGGAAGAGGACAUCACAGACACAACCCCAGAGGCAGUGGGAGGGGGCAUGAUUGAUUGGGAGCAAGGCAACAGUCUAACAGGGCCCAUCUGUGCCCAGGAGUGGGAGAAGCUCCUGGCCAUGAAGAGAGCCCUCACCAGAGGCCAAACCUACUAGGACCUUGAUCUUGGACUUCCAGCCUCCUCCCUGGAAACACGUGACAGCACAUAUGGGUGGUCUCCCUUCUUGAGCGAGGCCUGAGUCUUCACCCAGGAUCCAACUAGACUGAAAAGAACUGUCUCCCUAACAGCACUCCAUCAGCAUUCAGAGAAAAGAGAUUUCCACCUGGUGUUUUUAACCAACACAACCUCCUUCUACACCCUAACCCAUAGAGGGCCCUGGGACCAGUAUAAGAAGUGUGGGUGUUAAGCUGGGACUGCUAGAAGGAGCAGCAGCCCCAUGGGAGCAGGGCAGGAGGGUCCCCUCUUGACCUGCUGACUGCAAACACUGCAGCCGGAGAGACACUCACUCAGGCCACGGUGGGGAGGCCCAGGGGAGGCACGUGUCCUCAUUCUGCUAAGGCGAUAGGGCUCGGGCACAGGACAGGCGAUUUGACAUCAGAAAAUCCUGCAGGGGCUGGCCUGGCCUCUAGAUGCACGUCCUCCCCUUCAGACCCACCCCACACUCACCCAGCCCUGGGCUCCGGCCACUCCAUGGAGCCCGUGGCAAAGGCCUGAUGUGUCCUCAGUGAAUCCAGGUCAGAGAGCGGUCGAGCAGCAACUUGGGGAGCCAAGUGGAUGAAAAUCUGGACAAGAGAACAAAGCCAACCUGUUGGCCAAGGAAACUCAAUCCGAUUAUACCCCAGAGCCCCCCGUGGCUGGGAGCAGCCGUGUGACAGAGAAGAAAGGGUGCUUUCAUGGGCCCGGCCCUGCCUGCUGGCAAAUGGGCCCCACGAGUGCCCUGCCCCUUCUCCAGCGGCCCCACGGGAUUGUCUGGGUGUGGGGAAGGAACCCCUCCAUUGAGUCUCAGAGGAGACAGGAUGGGGGAGACCGGCAUCAGGAUAAGCCUUGGCCAAUGAAUACCUUCAAAGUUAAGGCUCUGGAGAUUUAAAAAAAAAAAAAAAAAAAAAAAGCCUGUGCGCGUUUGUCCUGGAAAUUGGCUCAUGGACAGAUUAAAUUUAGGAGUAACUGGGGCAGAUAUGCAGGGAAGCAUGUUUCCUUAAUGAGCCUGUCUUUAUUUAACUGCUUAAUCAUUUACUGGGCCAAAAAAUCUGGAGGUGACUCCGAAAGUCACGACGGUUAAGACAGUGACGGAUUGAGCCCUUGUCAGGCCAUUUCAGGGCCUGGCUCUGGUGACAUCAAUUCCCUGCUCCUGUCCUUGUCACCCCUGAUGGGGCAAGGAGGGGCUACACUCACCGCCAGGAUAACCCCAGCGUGGGUUAUCAGCCAUUUGGUUCCAGAACAGUUUUGCUUUGCCAUUUCAUUGUCCUCAAAGGGAGGCUCCUGGGAUGGGCAAUGUUGAUUUGGGUGAGGCUUCCUCUUCUUGCCCUGACACCUCCUUCCUCCAGCCUCCUUCAUUGCCUCUACUUCACUUCUCAUUCACUCAUUCAUUCAUUCAUUCAUUUGUUCAACUGUUUACACUAACAUAUGCCAUGCACUGUGAGAAAGCCCAGGAGACACAGUGUGGCAAAGCCCGACGUAGCGGUUGCCCUCGUGAAGCUGCUUACGGUCCCGUGGGGAAGGCCGAUUUUAAUCAAGUAAUUCCAAAUUCGAUCUUUACAACUGCAAUAAAUGCACUGAAGAAAAAGUGAAGAAAACUGGGCCCAGGGUAGAAGGAGGGGGGUGAUGCGUAGCCGGAGCAAGGGGCAAUUUUAAGGCAGAAAAACAAUUCUGUAUGGUACCGUAAUGAUGGGUGUGGAGACAACGCAUUUGCCAAAACCCGUAGAACUGUCUAACACAGAGAAGGAAGCCUAAAGUAAACUAUGAACUGGAGCUAAUAAUAGUGUAUCAAUAUGGGUUCACCCAUUGUAACAAAUGUACCACACCAAUGCAAGAGGUUAGCAAUGGGGCAGACAACUGGGAUAGUGGGCGGAGGGGAUAUACUGAAAGUUUCUGUAUUUUCUGCAAACCUAAAACUGCUCUAAAAAAUAAGGUCUACUUUUUUAAAAAGUGAAGAGAGCUAUGAGAUGAUAUUAAGGAACUUAUCUACACUUGCGGGUCUGCAGAGGUGCUACUCGAAACCAGACUUGGAUUGACCUUCAUCUGGCCAUGGCUGCAGGGUCUGCCUGCAGGUCUCCUUUCCUCUGCAGGGUGUGGGGACCCACUGUUUCGUGAGUGCCUGUCACCUGCAGCUCAUCACCGGGCACUGCCCACCUGUUCCAUUUGUGAUGUGGGGGUGAUCUUCUGGGGGUAUACUAGAACUAAGAUAAGGAAGGCGAGGGGAAGCAAAAGGGUAUAGCUCGGAACAACAGAGCCAGC
rnacentral:lncRNA from 1 species